rnacentral:rRNA from 1 species
AGUGAACGCUGGCGGUAGGCCUAACACAUGCAAGUCGAACGGCAGCACAGUAAGAGCUUGCUCUUACGGGUGGCGAGUGGCGGACGGGUGAGGAAUACAUCGGAAUCUACUUUUUCGUGGGGGAUAACGUAGGGAAACUUACGCUAAUACCGCAUACGACCUACGGGUGAAAGCAGGGGAUCUUCGGACCUUGCGCGAUUGAAUGAGCCGAUGUCGGAUUAGCUAGUUGGCGGGGUAAAGGCCCACCAAGGUGACGAUCCGUAGCUGGUCUGAGAGGAUGAUCAGCCACACUGGAACUGAGACACGGUCCAGACUCCUAUGGGAGGCAGCAGUGGGGAAUAUUGGACAAUGGGCGCAAGCCUGAUCCAGCCAUACCGCGUGGGUGAAGAAGGCCUUCGGGUUGUAAAGCCCUUUUGUUGGGAAAGAAAAGCAGCAGGUUAAUACCCCGCUGUUCUGACGGUACCCAAAGAAUAAGCACCGGCUAACUUCGUG